rnacentral:misc_RNA from 1 species
GAAAAACGUGCAGAUCCAGAUCCUCUGCGUCGUCGUCGCCGCUUCUGUCUAAUCCGCCAAAAACUCAAAAGGAGCAAAAGCCCUGUUAAUGCAACUACAGCAGGAACAAGCCAAUGAUUAGGAACAAUCAAAGGCAUGUCAGGCUCAUCUCGGUAGAACAAACUUAAGUAUCGGUUUCCAUAUGUAUCUCUUCGGUUUUUUAACAUCAACUUUGGAGGUCCCCUCGAAGAACUCUCAGGAGUAGAAUUCAAGCCUCUUCCCAAGUCUAUU